rnacentral:rRNA from 1 species
GACGAACGCUGGCGGCGUGCUUAACACAUGCAAGUCGAACGGUGAACCUCUUCGGAGGGGAUCAGUGGCGAAAGGGUGAGUAACACGUGGGCAACCUGCCCCCGGCUCUGGGAUAACUCCAAGAAAUUGGGGCUAAUACCGGAUGUUCACCGCUUCCCGCAUGGGUGGUGGUGGAAAGGGUUUCCGGCUGGGGAUGGGCCCGCGGCCUAUCAGCUUGUUGGUGGGGUAGUGGCCUACCAAGGCGACGACGGGUAGCCGGCCUGAGAGGGUGACCGGCCACACUGGGACUGAGACACGGCCCAGAGUCCUACGGGAGGCAGCAGUGGGGAAUAUUGCGCAAUGGGCGGAAGCCUGACGCAGCGACGCCGCGUGGGGGAUGACGGCCUUCGGGUUGUAAACCUCUUUCAGCAGGGACGAAGCGCAAGUGACGGUACCUGCAGAAGAAGCACCGGCCAACUACGUG